AGGCCCUUUCGGGGGUACACGAGUGGCGAACGGGUGAGUAACACGUGGGUAAUCUUGCCCUGCACUUCGGGAUAAGCCUGGGAAACCGGGUCUAAUACCGGAUAUGAGCUCCUGCCGCAUGGUGGGGGUUGGAAAGUUUUUCGGUGCAGGAUGAGUCCGCGGCCUAUCAGCUUGUUGGUGGGGUAAUGGCCUACCAAGGCGACGACGGGUAGCCGGCCUGAGAGGGUGAUCGGCCACACUGGGACUGAGACACGGCCCAGACUCCUACGGGAGGCAGCAGUGGGGAAUAUUGCACAAUGGGCGAAAGCCUGAUGCAGCGACGCCGCGUGGGGGAUGACGGUCUUCGGAUUGUAAACUCCUUUCAGUAGGGACGAAGCGAAAGUAACG
rnacentral:rRNA from 1 species